rnacentral:rRNA from 1 species
GACGAACGCUGGCGGCGUGCCUAAUACAUGCAAGUAGAACGCUGAAGGCGGAGCUUGCUUCUCUGGAUGAGUUGCGAACGGGUGAGUAACGCGUAGGUAACCUGCCUGGUAGCGGGGGAUAACUAUUGGAAACGAUAGCUAAUACCGCAUAAUAGUAGAUGUUGCAUGACAUUUGCUUAAAAGGUGCAAUUGCAUCACUACCAGAUGGACCUGCGUUGUAUUAGCUAGUUGGUGGGGUAACGGCUCACCAAGGCGACGAUACAUAGCCGACCUGAGAGGGUGGUCGGCCACACUGGGACGGAGACACGGCCCAGACUCCUACAGGAGGCAGCAGUAGGGAAUCUUCGGGAAUGGACGGAAGUCUGACCGAGCAACGCCGCAGGAGUGAAGAAGGUUGUCGGAUCGUAAAGCUCGGUUGUAAGAGAAGAACGAGUGUGAGAGUGGAAAGUUCACACUGUGACGGUAUCUUACCAGAAAGGGACGGCUAACUACGUG